GACGAACGCUGGCGGCGUGCCUAAUACAUGCAAGUCGAACGGUUUAGUUCCAAGAGGCUUGCCUUUUGGAACUAGACAGUGGCGGACGGGUGAGUAACACGUAGGCAACCUACCUGUCAAACCGGGAUAACCUCGGGAAACCGAAGCUAAACCCGGAUAAGCUCCUUUUUCGCAUGAAGGGGGAGUGAAAAGGUGCGACCUGAUGACAGAUGGGCCUGCGGCGCAUUAGCUAGUAGGUAGGGUAACGGCCUACCUAGGCGAUGAUGCGUAGCCGACCUGAGAGGGCGUACGGCCACACUGGGACUGAGAUACGGCCCAGACUCCUACGGGAGGCAGCAGUAGGGAAUCUUCGGCAAUGGGCGUAAGCCUGACCGAGCAACGCCGCGUGAGUGAGGAAGGCCUUCGGGUUGUAAAACUCUGUUGUUUGGGAAGAAGGGAAAGGGUAGGACCCUUAGGUGACGGUACCAAGCGAGAAAGCCCCGGCUAACUACGUG
rnacentral:rRNA from 1 species